rnacentral:rRNA from 1 species
AAUGAACGCUGGCGGCGCGCCUAAUACAUGCAAGUCGAGCGAGAAGACGUAGCAAUACGUUUGUAAAGCGGCGAACGGGUGAGGAAUACAUGGGUAACCUACCCUCGAGUGGGGAAUAACUAGCCGAAAGGUUAGCUAAUACCGCGUACGCUUCUUGGACUUCGGUUCAGGGAGGAAAGCGAUGCCGAGGGUAUCGCGCUCUUGGAUGGGCUCAUGUCCUAUCAGCUUGUUGGGAGGUAACGGCUCACCAAGGCUUCGACGGGUAGCUGGUCUGAGAGGACGAUCAGCCACACUGGCACUGCGACACGGGCCAGACUCCUACGGGAGGCAGCAGUAAGGAAUAUUGCGCAAUGGGCGAAAGUCUGACGCAGCGACGCCGCGUGGGGGA